rnacentral:tRNA from 1 species
GGCACCAUAGCCAAGUGGUAAGGCCAAGGUCUGCAAAACCUUUACGCCCCGGUCCGAAUCCGGGUGGUGCCUCCA